UCGGAUAUGGUGUAAUGGCUAACAUUGCCGCCUCUCAUUGAUCCUGCUUCCCGCGGCAGCUCGGGGUUCGAUUCCCCGUAUCCGAA